UACGUAGGUGGCAAGCGUUAUCCGGAUUUAUUGGGCGUAAAGGGAACGCAGGCGGUCUUUUAAGUCUGAUGUGAAAGCCUUCGGCUUAACCGGAGUAGUGCAUUGGAAACUGGGAGACUUGAGUGCAGAAGAGGAGAGUGGAACUCCAUGUGUAGCGGUGAAAUGCGUAGAUAUUAGGAGGAACACCAGUGGCGAAGGCGGUCUGCUGGACAGCAACUGACGGUGAGGCGCGAAAGCGUGGGGAGCAAACAGG
rnacentral:rRNA from 1 species